GUCUAUAUCAGUCCUACAAGGAAGAAAAGAUGCUUUAGAUGACAAAUCAAGAAAGAAAUAGAUUUCCAAAAGACAAUGACUGCACCUUAGAAUGUUGGAUAUUCCAGGUAGAUCAGGCUUUUAUGGGAAUGAUAGAGAACUGCUUGUCACGUAUAGUGCAGCUGAUUAAAUGAGGUGACUCAAUUUUUUUUUUCAUUUGUCUAGGAUCUGCUACUACUUAAUUGUUUCCUCUACGUGGAUGCACCUCCAUAAAUCCUCCCCUGACACCUCUGCAAAGGCUCCAAUGAUGGAUGAAGUCAAAAAGACUGGAAAAAAAAGCAGAGGUCCAAGCGCUAUGCUUCUUACAUCAGUUCUGGAAAUUGGCAGCAGCUAUGUCAGCAGAAAUACCAUUUUGCUAAUCCUUGCAGGUGUAAAAGAAAUCGUGCCACUCCUGAUCCAGCUGGAUAUCCUGAAACUAGAGCCCUGUGUGGACUGAAUCCACUGGUCAUGCUCCGAGCAAAUGGAGAAGGGAAGCAUCUCCAUAUCAGCAGAACAGGGAUGGUGACAACCUCCAGCAAAGAGGAGACAACAAACAGCUGAUAGCAUACUCAACUUGAAAAAUUUUACUGUUUUUAAAAUGUCAAAAACUUAUUUUAGGAUGGAUUGCUGCCAUGGUCAUCCCUUUAUAACAGGAAAGUUUUUUUUCUAGUGAAAACAGGUUUAAAAUAUCCUAUAGACAGUAGCAUGAAAGUAUUUGUUCAUAAAGCCUGCAUGUAAUGAAUAUGGAAGAGGAUGUGCAGACAUAUUUAACUUUGGCUGUUUUUGCAAUCCCCAUGUACUCUGAAGAUAGGUUUUAUAUGGAAUACACACACACACACGAAAAAUAUUUAACAUAAUCCAACAGCAUAAAAACAUAAAAAGCAUAAAACAUCCUGAUUUUCUGUGAUGAAAAAUUGCAAAAAAAAAUCAAAAAUAAUAUAUUUAAAUUGACUAGUAUAAAAUAGAGGCAUUUUUUAAAGGCUCUGAACAUUUUCAGCAGCACAGACAUUUUAAUUCAUGCUCUGUGCUUAACUAAUGGCAGCUGCAUUCUCCAAAAUUGCACACUUGGUCCUAUCCUCCCACACUCUCUCACAGCUAACCAACAAAAACUCUCAAGGGUUUAAAAAUAAUCUUACUGAGCUCAGGGCAAAGGAGGCUUUUACACUGAUGGUAUGCUACAGACCUUUUGUAAAUCAGUUAUCAAUCCCAAGAUAAAACUACAAAUUUAGAGAUAGAUUUUUAAGUCUAAUUUUGCAUGUGGUAAUUAUUAAUAAAAUAAUAAACUGAUAGACA
ensembl:lncRNA